rnacentral:rRNA from 1 species
UACGUAGGGUGCAAGCGUUGUCCGGAAUCAUUGGGCGUAAAGCGCGUGUAGGCGGCUUGUUAAGUCCGCUCUGAAAGCCCGGGGCUCAACCCCGGGAGGCGGGUGGAUACUGGCAAGCUCGAGUCCGGAAGAGGCGAGUGGAAUUCCCGGUGUAGCGGUGAAAUGCGCAGAUAUCAGGAGGAACACCGGUGGCGAAGGCGGGUCUCUGGGCCGAUACUGACGCUGAGGAGCGAAAGCGUGGGGAGCGAACAGG